rnacentral:lncRNA from 1 species
GGUUUUUGAUGGUGGUUUUGUCUUUUUUCUUUUUUAUUUAUUUCCGCUAAAUCUUUGAAAAAUCAUAAUAAAUUAUAGAAAAAUCAUAAAAUGAAAAUUUCAAUUUUGUUGGACUUCUGAUGAGUAGAUCUACACAGUGAAUAUAUAAUAUGGUAUACUAUAGUAUAAAGUUUUUGUUGUAGCUUUAAAUCUAUGUUUUUCUGUAAUUAAAUCGAAUAAUUCAUAUAUGCAGUUCCUAUGAUCCAAUUGUGGUGAAAUUUUUAUGGUGCGCUCAUUAUUGUAUGCUUG